UACGGAGGGUGCAAGCGUUAUCCGGAUUCACUGGGUUUAAAGGGUGCGUAGGUGGGUCUGUAAGUCAGUGGUGAAAUCUCCAAGCUUAACUUGGAAGCUGCCGUUGAUACUAUAGACCUUGAAUGCUGUGGAGGUGAGCGGAAUAUGUCAUGUAGCGGUGAAAUGCUUAGAUAUGACAUAGAACACCAAUUGCGAAGGCAGCUCACUACCCAGAUAUUGACACUGAGGCACGAAAGCGUGGGGAUCAAACAGG
rnacentral:rRNA from 1 species